AGAGUUUGAUCAUGGCUCAGAUUGAACGCUGGCGGCAGGCUUAACACAUGCAAGUCGAGCGGGGGAAGGUAGCUUGCUACUGGACCUAGCGGCGGACGGGUGAGUAAUGCUUAGGAAUCUGCCUAUUAGUGGGGGACAACAUCUCGAAAGGGAUGCUAAUACCGCAUACGUCCUACGGGAGAAAGCAGGGGAUCUUCGGACCUUGCGCUAAUAGAUGAGCCUAAGUCGGAUUAGCUAGUUGGUGGGGUAAAGGCCUACCAAGGCGACGAUCUGUAGCGGGUCUGAGAGGAUGAUCCGCCACACUGGGACUGAGACACGGCCCAGACUCCUACGGGAGGCAGCAGUGGGGAAUAUUGGACAAUGGGGGGAACCCUGAUCCAGCCAUGCCGCGUGUGUGAAGAAGGCCUUAUGGUUGUAAAGCACUUUAAGCGAGGAGGAGGCUACUUUAGUUAAUACCUAGAGAUAGUGGACGUUACUCGCAGAAUAAGCACCGGCUAACUCUGUGCCAGCAGCCGCGGUAAUACAGAGGGUGCGAGCGUUAAUCGGAUUUACUGGGCGUAAAGCGUGCGUAGGCGGCUUAUUAAGUCGGAUGUGAAAUCCCCGAGCUUAACUUGGGAAUUGCAUUCGAUACUGGUGAGCUAGAGUAUGGGAGAGGAUGGUAGAAUUCCAGGUGUAGCGGUGAAAUGCGUAGAGAUCUGGAGGAAUACCGAUGGCGAAGGCAGCCAUCUGGCCUAAUACUGACGCUGAGGUACGAAAGCAUGGGGAGCAAACAGGAUUAGAUACCCUGGUAGUCCAUGCCGUAAACGAUGUCUACUAGCCGUUGGGGCCUUUGAGGCUUUAGUGGCGCAGCU
rnacentral:rRNA from 1 species